UACGUAGGGUGCGAGCGUUAAUCGGAAUUACUGGGCGUAAAGCGUGCGCAGGCGGUCCGCAAAGUCUGAUGUGAAAGCCCCGGGCUCAACCUGGGAACUGCAUUGGAAACUAACGGGCUCGAGUGUGGCAGAGGGGGGUGGAAUUCCACGUGUAGCAGUGAAAUGCGUAGAGAUCGGGAGGAACAUCCGUGGCGAAGGCGACUACCUGGACCAGCACUGACACUGAGGCACGAAAGCGUGGGGAGCAAACAGG
rnacentral:rRNA from 1 species